rnacentral:lncRNA from 1 species
GAUGAUGUCCUAGUGAUAUCUGAUGAGGUAUCUACUUCUUUUUAGUAGUUAAUUUUAGAUUUUGCAUGCACCCAUCAUAUAUGUUGCAGAGAGGAGCUAUUUGAUUUUUUAAAAAGUAGUAAAGGCAUUGUUCGUCUGCUAGAUGGACCGAGUUGUUCGAUCAAAAGCAUCAAAAUGAUCAGCUGGAGGAUACAUAAUGAUAUAAUGAAGAGAUAUGGCAAGGUCUGAUACAUAUUCAAUUUCUGAUGGAAUCUCAUCUCACUGACC